CUUCAGGGAGCCCAGCCACAGCGGCCGGUCGGCGGGGCGGUCCGCGUAUCCCGCGCGCAGCGCCUCCACUUC
rnacentral:antisense_RNA from 2 species